CUACACAUGCAGUCGUACGGAAUUACAGUGGUAGCAAUAUUAUUGUAGUUUAGUGGCGAACGGGUGAGUAACACGUAAACAACGUGCCUCUUCGCUGGGGAUAACAACCCGAAAGGGUUGCUAAAACCGAAUAAUCUCGUUGGAGGACAUCCUUUGACGAGUAAAGCUCCGGCGCGAAGGGAGCGGUUUGCGUCCUAUUACGCUAGUUGGUAAGGUAACGGCUUACCAAGGCUACGAUGGGUAACCGGUCUGAGAGGAUGAUCGGUCACACUGGGACUGAGACACGGCCCAGACUCCUACGGGAGGCAGCAGUGAGGGAUUUUGCGCAAUGGACGAAAGUCUGACGCAGCGACACCGCGUGAGUGAUGAAGGCCUUCGGGUUGUAAAGCUCUGUCAGAGGGGAAGAGUAAGGACGGUACCCUCGGAGGAAGCCUCGGCUAACUACGUGCCAGCAACCGCGGUAAGACGUAGGGGGCAAGCGUUGUCCGGAAUUACUGGGCGUAAAGAGCUCGUAGGUGGGACUAUAAGUCG
rnacentral:rRNA from 1 species